CACGCAUCCUCUUCGAACCCUAAUUCUCCGCGCUAAACCUUGUCCAUCUAUCUCUCCACCAACGCCGCUAAACCCUAAAUUAUGCCAAUCAUGGAGCAUAAAUCGAUGGCUUGGCGGAUGUCGGUCAAUGAACGGAAGUUCAUAGAGACCGCACUCGCUUCCGAUCUCCGUGUCGACGGCCGGCGCCCUUUUGACUACCGCCGGUUGAACAUUAAGUUUGGGAGAGAAGAUGGUUGUUCAGAAGUGCAACUAGGUGAGACUCAUGUGAUGGCUUAUGUGACUUCUGAACUAGUGCAACCGUAUCGAGAUAGACCAAAUGAAGGAAUUCUUGCUAUAUUCACUGAUUUUUCACCAAUGGCUGAUCCUUCCUUCGAAGCAGGGCGCCCUGGAGAAUCUGCUAUUGAACUUGGUCGUGUUAUAGAUCGUGGUCUUCGGGAAAGCAGGGCGGUGGAUAUGGAGUCCCUAUGUGUUGUUGCAGGAAAAUUAGUGUGGUCUAUCCAAGUGGAUCUACACAUUAUUGAUAAUGGAGGGAAUCUAGUAGAUGCUGCUAAUGUUGCUGCCUUGGCUGCCCUUUUGACAUUUCAAAGGCCUGAAUGUACAGUAGGAGGAGAUAAUGGCCAAGAUAUUAUUAUUCAUGAUCCCAAGGUUGUGGAACCCCUUCCUUUGGUUAUUCAUCAUCUUCCAAUUUCAGUGACUUUUGCAUUUUAUAACAAGGGAGAUAUCAUGGUUAUUGAUCCAACACAUAAAGAAGAGUCUGUUAUGGGAGGAAAGAUGACUGCUACAAUAAAUUCAAACGGUGAUGUUUGUGCAAUUCAAAAAGCAGGAGGAGAAGGUGUCAUGCCAAGUGUAGUCAUGCAGUGUAUAAGAAUCGCCUCUGUGAAAGCUGCUGAUAUCACUAGUAAACUUAAGAAUGCAGUAGAAGUAUACAACACCGAAAGAGCAUUACGGAAGGUUAAGCGCCAUCCAUCUAAAAUGGCACACCAAGUUAGUGUUGCGGAUAUUACACUGGAGGACAAGCAAGUCAAGGAUUUGCCAAGACAUCAAGCAAAAAUGGCAUGUCAACCAUAUAUAGGCUCUAGUCAAGAUGAUGAACCAAAAGUUGAUACUAGAACAUCUACAAAUGCAGAUGGCAACAGUAGUGGCACACAUGCUGAUGCUUUUGUUGGUGGCCCAUCAAAAUGGGAUCCAUAUCCAUUGAGGGUUGGAACAUCUCAAGUACUUGGUACCCUAACGGUAGUUAAGGAAGAACAAGUAGUAAGCGAUGAUCACAGGGCAGUCGAAUGUAGUCUUGACCAUACAACCACUUCUAGUUCGGGAACUGUUAGUGUUUCAGAUGCUAUGCAGAAAUCUAAUACUUCAAAAAGUUUGAAAGAUGCAGUGAAGUUGAAAAAGAGAAAGAAGAAUAGAUCAUCGACCACUACCAGAUGAAUACAUUCAACAUCUACAGUUCUUAUCAGGCAUUUUGCUGUUGUGAAAGUAAUCGUUCUCUGUGCCAUUCGAUGCUUAUGCCAAUGGCUUCCAUCCAAAUUGAUGAAAGCUCUUUAGGCUUGUGAAUGUAGUUGAUUAUCCUGAAGACGAGAGCUCGCUGGAAAUUUGGACACCAGACUCGCAGAGAUCUAUUGCAAUUUGCUUGAUGAAUGAUGAGCCAAGAAGAAUAAAUUGAUAGACAGCAUAUCUAAAUUUUCAAGUAACGCAUACCAGUAAAGGCACUCUUUUUGCAACUCAACCCUUGCAAUGCUGGAACAGAAGCUUGGAUUCUUCGCAGAUAAACACUUCAAGGGAUCAGAAUGGCCAGGUCUUCUCCAGAACUUGAUAUGGCCUUCGCGGGAUACUGUUAGCAAUGAUGCUUUAGUGAAUAUCAAGCCAGAGAGUGGAUCCAAGUGUACUUGCUGAGUUGCAAUAGGAGAGAUUUUAGGCACAUCACUCAUGCUUGGAGAAGGCAGGAUAGCACCAGUGGUGCUAAUGCUAUCCCCAUUUGCUGAGAGAUCACUCUUGGUGGUUGGUGAACCACCAGGUGGACCAUAAAGUGGCACGACAAGUUCAUCGAUCGCCAGAUCCCACAGAAGCAGCUGACUGUCCUGCAAGCUUGUCAUGGAUGUUGAAUGAGAAACAGAAUAAUGAAAUAUUGUGGUAGUUGAGAUAGAGUGAUGCAUCAACCCAGGGAGGAAGACUAAGUGAACAAAUUCCCACAGCAUUGAACUAUCUUAGUUUUACAACUAUCACCAUGCAACUUAUUGAACGAACUGGCAGUAUUGCUUAUCUUAGUUGAAA